rnacentral:tRNA from 1 species
GCUGGGGAUAGAGCUUAGUUGGUAGAGUGCUUGCCUUGCAUGCAUGAGGCCUUGGGUUCUAAUCCCCAGCACAACA